CAUCAUGGCCCUUACGAGUAGGGCUACACACGUGCUACAAUGGCGCAUACAAAGAGAAGCGACCUCGCGAGAGCAAGCGGACCUCAUAAAGUGCGUCGUAGUCCGGAUUGGAGUCUGCAACUCGACUCCAUGAAGUCGGAAUCGCUAGUAAUCGUAGAUCAGAAUGCUACGGUGAAUACGUUCCCGGGCCUUGUACACACCGCCCGUCACACCAUGGGAGUGGGUUGCAAAAGAAGUAGGUAGCUUAACCUUCGGGAGGGCGCUUACCACUUUGUGAUUCAUGACUGGGGUGAAGUCGUAACAAGGUAACCGUAGGGGAACCUGCGGUUGGAUCACCUCCUUACCUUAAAGAA
rnacentral:rRNA from 2 species